rnacentral:rRNA from 1 species
GCAGUAGAGGAAAGUGGAACUCCAUGUGUAGCGGUGAAAUGCGUAGAUAUAUGGAAGAACACCAGUGGCGAAGGCGGCUUUCUGGACUGUAACUGACGUUGAGGCUCGAAAGUGUGGGUAGCAAACAGGAUUAGAUACCCUGGUAGUCCACACCGUAAACGAUGAGUGCUAGGUGUUUGAGGGUUUCCGCCCUUAAGUGCCGCAGCUAACGCAUUAAGCACUCCGCCUGGGGAGUACGACCGCAAGGUUGAAACUCAAAGGAAUUGACGGGGACCCGCACAAGCGGUGGGGCAUGUGGUUUAAUUCGAAGCAACGCGAAGAACCUUACCAGGUCUUGACAUCCCUUGACAACUCCAGAGAUGGAGCGUUCCCUUCGGGGACAAGGUGACAGGUGGUGCAUGGUUGUCGUCAGCUCGUGUCGUGAGAUGUUGGGUUAAGUCCCGCAACGAGCGCAACCCUUAUUACUAGUUGCCAGCAUUUAGUUGGGCACUCUAGUGGGACUGCCGGUGACAAACCGGAGGAAGGUGGGGAUGACGUCAAAUCAUCAUGCCCCUUAUGACCUGGGCUACACACGUGCUACAAUGGCGUAUACAACGAGUUGCCAACCCGCGAGGGUGAGCUAAUCUCUUAAAGUACGUCUCAGUUCGGAUUGUAGGCUGCAACUCGCCUACAUGAAGUCGGAAUCGCUAGUAAUCGCGGAUCAGCACGCCGCGGUGAAUACGUUCCCGGGUCUUGUACACACCGCCCGUCACACCAUGAGAGUUUGUAACACCCAAAGCCGGUGGGGUAACCUUCGGGAGCCAGCCGUCUAAGGUGGGACAGAUGAUUAGGGUGAAGUCGUAACAAGGUAGCCGUA